rnacentral:rRNA from 1 species
UGGGGAAUAUUGCACAAUGGGCGCAAGCCUGAUGCAGCCAUGCCGCGUGUGUGAAGAAGGCCUUCGGGUUGUAAAGCACUUUCAGCGGGGAGGAAGGCGUUAAGGUUAAUAACCUUGGCGAUUGACGUUACCCGCAGAAGAAGCACCGGCUAACUCCGUGCCAGCAGCCGCGGUAAUACGGAGGGUGCAAGCGUUAAUCGGAAUUACUGGGCGUAAAGCGCACGCAGGCGGUCUGUCAAGUCGGAUGUGAAAUCCCCGGGCUCAACCUGGGAACUGCAUUCGAAACUGGCAGGCUAGAGUCUUGUAGAGGGGGGUAGAAUUCCAGGUGUAGCGGUGAAAUGUGUAGAGAUCUGGAGGAAUACCGGUGGCGAAGGCGGCCCCCUGGACAAAGACUGACGCUCAGGUGCGAAAGCGUGGGGAGCAAACAGG